rnacentral:rRNA from 1 species
GUGUCCAGAUAGCCAUGGCACGUCUAGUACAAACUAAAUGGAUGGGUGAAACUGGCAAAUAGGGCUCAUUACAACGGUUAUGAUGUACCCGGGAGUUCCGAUGGAUAUUUCCAGUAACACUAGAACUAAUACAUGUCCCUGCGUUUAUUAGUUUCGCACAGUCCGUCGCUGAGUCAUGGUAAACAGUUGAUCGACUCGACGUCCCGGAACAGUUUCCGCCCCAUCAGCUUCGAUGGUUGGGUAUUGGCCUACCAUUGCAACAACGGGUAACGAGGAAUUAGGGUUUGAUUUCGGAGAGGGAGCCUGAGAAACGGCUACCACAUCUACGGAUGGCAGCAGGCGCGCAAAUUACCCAAUGCAGACACUGUGAGGUAGUGACGAGAAAUAAUAAAGCGGGACUUCUGUUUCGCUAUUAUAAUGAGGAAUAACCAAAGGUCAUUCCGAUUAGCAACUGAUGGGAAAGUCUGGUGCCAGCAGCCGCGGUAAUACCAGCGUCAGUA